CUGGCCUUGUGCUCACAGCACUUCUGCAGUAGAUAAUCUUCAGAUACCCUGGUUUCUAAUUUGCUGUGGUCCCUGCAAAACCUGCUUUGAAAAAAGACUAUACUUAUCACUUCAUACGAUGUUUUGUUUUGAGAUCUUGUCUCACAAAUAACAGAUAAUGGAAACUUGGAUGCAGCUUCAGGAAUUGAUCACCUUUCAGCAGUUUCCUAAAGCUCCAAAGUCUCUCCUUGCUAGUGAGGGUCCUUCAGGAGAUGCUGUUCCUGACCAAAGCUUUCAGGUUGAAUAGAGG